rfam:Nitrosococcus halophilus Nc4, complete genome.
AACAGCAGCUAGGGGUGCCGAGCAAUUGCCCGGCUGAGAGAGUCCCUCUGAACCUGAUCCGGUUGGUACCGGCGUAGGGAAGCUGAAAAGCACAGGC